rnacentral:rRNA from 1 species
GCAGUCGACGAUGAAGCCUUUCGGGGUGGAUUAGUGGCGAACGGGUGAGUAACACGUGGGCAAUCUGCCCUUCACUCUGGGACAAGCCCUGGAAACGGGGUCUAAUACCGGAUAACACUCUGUCCUGCAUGGGACGGGGUUAAAAGCUCCGGCGGUGAAGGAUGAGCCCGCGGCCUAUCAGCUUGUUGGUGGGGUAAUGGCCUACCAAGGCGACGACGGGUAGCCGGCCUGAGAGGGCGACCGGCCACACUGGGACUGAGACACGGCCCAGACUCCUACGGGAGGCAGCAGUGGGGAAUAUUGCACAAUGGGCGAAAGCCUGAUGCAGCGACGCCGCGUGAGGGAUGACGGCCUUCGGGUUGUAAACCUCUUUCAGCAGGGAAGAAGCGAAAGUGACGGUACCUGCAGAAGAAGCGCCGGCUAACUACGUGCCAGCAGCCGCGGUAAUACGUAGGGCGCAAGCGUUGUCCGGAAUUAUUGGGCGUAAAGAGCUCGUAGGCGGCUUGUCACGUCGGAUGUGAAAGCCCGGGGCUUAACCCCGGGUCUGCAUUCGAUACGGGCUAGCUAGAGUGUGGUAGGGGAGAUCGGAAUUCCUGGUGUAGCGGGAAAAUGCGCCA